CCUACGGGGUGCAGCAGUGAGGAAUAUUGGUCAAUGGGCGCGAGCCUGAACCAGCCAAGUAGCGUGAAGGAUGACUGCCCUACGGGUUGUAAACUUCUUUUAUAUGGGAAUAAAACAGGGUAUGCAUACCCUCUUGUAUGUACCAUAUGAAUAAGCAUCGGCUAACUCCGUGCCAGCAGCCGCGGUAAUACGGAGGAUGCGAGCGUUAUCCGGAUUUAUUGGGUUUAAAGGGUGCGUAGGUGGUUAAUUAAGUCAGCGGUGAAAGUUUGUGGCUCAACCAUAAAAUUGCCGUUGAAACUGGUUGACUUGAGUAUAUUUGAGGUAGGCGGAAUGCGUGGUGUAGCGGUGAAAUGCAUAGAUAUCACGCAGAACUCCGAUUGCGAAGGCAGCUUACUAAACUAUAACUGACACUGAAGCACGAAAGCGUGGGGAUCAAACAGGAUUAGAUACCCCAGUAGUC
rnacentral:rRNA from 1 species